rnacentral:rRNA from 1 species
CCUACGGGAGGCUGCAGUGGGGAAUCUUCCGCAAUGGACGAAAGUCUGACGGAGCAACGCCGCGUGAGCGAAGAAGGUCUUCGGAUCGUAAAGCUCUGUCCUAAGGGAAGAAUAAUGACGGUACCUUAGGAGGAAGCCCCGGCUAACUACGUGCCAGCAGCCGCGGUAAUACGUAGGGGGCGAGCGUUAUCCGGAAUCACUGGGCGUAAAGGGUGCGUAGGCGGCCCUGCAAGUCAGGAGUUAAAUCCCUCGGCUCAACCGAGGUCAGCUCUUGAAACUGGGGGACUUGAGUGCAGAAGAGGAAAGCGGAAUUCCACGUGUAGCGGUGAAAUGCGUAGAGAUGUGGAGGAACACCAGUGGCGAAGGCGGCUUUCUGGUCUGUAACUGACGCUGAGGCGCGAAAGCGUGGGGAGCAAACAGGAUUAGAUACCCGGGUAGUC